GAUGAACGCUGGCGGCGUGCCUAAUACAUGCAAGUAGAACGCUGAAGCUUGGUGCUUGCACCGAGCGGAUGAGUUGCGAACGGGUGAGUAACGCGUAGGUAACCUGCCUCUUAGCGGGGGAUAACUAUUGGAAACGAUAGCUAAUACCGCAUAAAAGUCGAUAUCGCAUGAUGUUGAUUUGAAAGGUGCAAUUGCAUCACUAAGAGAUGGACCUGCGUUGUAUUAGCUAGUUGGUGAGGUAACGGCUCACCAAGACGACGAUACAUAGCCGACCUGAGAGGGUGAUCGGCCACACUGGGACUGAGACACGGCCCAGACUCCUACGGGAGGCAGCAGUAGGGAAUCUUCGGCAAUGGGGGCAACCCUGACCGAGCAACGCCGCGUGAGUGAAGAAGGUUUUCGGAUCGUAAAGCUCUGUUGUAAGAGAAGAACGAGUGUGAGAGUGGAAAGUUCACACUGUGACGGUAACUUACCAGAAAGGGACGGCUAACUACGUGCCAGCAGCCGCGGUAAUACGUAGGUCCCGAGCGUUAUCCGGAUUUAUUGGGCGUAAAGCGAGCGCAGGCGGUUAGAUAAGUCUGAAGUUAAAGGCUGUGGCUUAACCAUAGUACGCUUUGGAAACUGUUUAACUUGAGUGCAGAAGGGGAGAGUGGAAUUCCAUGUGUAGCGGUGAAAUGCGUAGAUAUAUGGAGGAACACCGGUGGCGAAAGCGGCUCUCUGGUCUGUAACUGACGCUGAGGCUCGAAAGCGUGGGGAGCAAACAGG
rnacentral:rRNA from 1 species